rnacentral:rRNA from 1 species
UGCAGCUGAAGCGGCUCCCCGUCAGGCUCAGGAGGAGGCGGUGGGUUGCCGGCGGCGGGCGGANGCCGAAUAGGCUCCGGUUUGCCGUCGGGUCGGGCCCGCCGUUCACUCUGCACUUCUGCNGGAAGCCGGCCAACGGCAGUCGCCCCCGGCUCUGGAGGCGUUCCCGGGGGAGGUGGCCCUGCGCUCCGGCGCGGGGAGCGUACAGCCCCGGCGCCCGGCAGUCCGGGAAAGAGAAAACGCCGAAAGGCGUAGAGGUGACUGAGGAGAGACGUUGCGGUCCCUCGCACGUCGCGGCGCGGGCCCUCUCUGCCGUCCUCUUCCCCCUCGGGGGCGGGGCGGGCGGAGGGCUGGGCCUCUCUCGUCUGUGCGAC